ACACCCUUCACCGUUAAUAUAGUUUCAAAACAAACAUUAGACUGUGGCUCUAAAAAUAGGAGUUAAAAUCUCCUUAUAAACCGAGAGAGGUAUUAUACAAUAAGAACUGCUAACUCCUAUAUCCGAGACUAACCACCUCGGCUCCCUCACUUUUAAAGGAUAGAAG
rnacentral:misc_RNA from 1 species